UACAGAGGGGGCAAGCGUUGUUCGGAAUUACUGGGCGUAAAGGGCGCGUAGGCGGCCUGUUAAGUCGAACGUGAAAUCCCCGGGCUCAACCCGGGAACUGCGUCCGAUACUGGCAGGCUUGAAUCCGGGAGAGGGAUGUGGAAUUCCAGGUGUAGCGGUGAAAUGCGUAGAUAUCUGGAGGAACACCGGUGGCGAAGGCGGCGAUCCUGGACCGGUAUUGACGCUGAGGCGCGAAAGCCAGGGGAGCAAACGGG
rnacentral:rRNA from 1 species